UAUGGACUCUUUUAAAUCAAAUCAAACACUUGACUAAUUCAACCACAAUUUAAACAAGGCUCCUACUCAAAUUGGACUCUUCAUGGCGUAUGAAAAUAGAGUUCAAAUCAGCUAGAACUCUUCUCAAAUGACAUAUGGACUCAUCACACAAGAUUUCAAAGAAAUUAGGACUUCUUAGCUUGCGCACGCUCCAUGAAAAGAAGCUUCGCGCACGCCUUAAGGAGUCUUCACGUACACCCUUAAUUCUAUUCCUAAUUUCAGACUUUUGAAUGAGUCAACAAUCAAACUACUAAGAAAAACAAAAAGAAACUUUUUCUAACCUUAGAUUGAAAAUUCUAAACUCUAUGUAAUAUUGGGCAUGCUCAAUGUUUGACCAAACUUCUAAACUCAAG
rnacentral:lncRNA from 1 species